rnacentral:pre_miRNA from 18 species
AACCGCACGGGAUAAUCAUUUUCCCGUGCGGUCGGGUUAAGUGGACCGCACGGGAUAAUCGAUUAUCCCGUGCGAUC